UACGUAGGGGGCAAGCGUUGUUCGGAUUUACUGGGCGUAAAGGGCGCGUAGGCGGCCACCGCAAGUCAAUUGUGAAAUCUCCGGGCUUAACUCGGAAAGGUCAACUGAUACUGCGGGGCUAGAGUGCGGAAGGGGCAACUGGAAUUCCGAGUGUAGAGGUGAAAUUCGUAGAUAUUCGGAAGAACACCAGUGGCGAAGGCGACUCACUGGACAUGUAUUGACGCUGAGGUACGAAAGCGUGGGGAGCAAACAGG
rnacentral:rRNA from 1 species